rnacentral:rRNA from 1 species
GACGAACCAUCCAAACGUUAUUCGGAAUCACUGGGCUUAAAGGGUGCGUAGGCGGCCCGGUAAGUUGGGUGUGAAAUACCUCGGCCUAACCGAGGAAUUGCGCCCAAAACUGCCAGGCUCGAGGAAGACAUAGGUGAGCGGAACUUAGGGUGGAGCGGUGAAAUGCGUUGAUAUCCUAAGGAACACCAGUAGCGAAAGCGGCUCACUGGGUCUUAUCUGACGCUGAUGCACGAAAGCCAGGGGAGCGAACGGG